CCAGACACACUGCUGAGCAGGACGGAAAGGGGCAGGGAGAGGGCAGACGCUGUCCUCACCACCCUGCGGAACGAGCUUGUGUUUGGAGACUGGAAAACACGCGGGUACUGAACUCCAGCCGCCUGGGCGCACCCCCCGCCUCUCUGNNNUCUUUCCCUGGGAAGCUGGGCAAGGCUGUUCUCUCUCGGACUGGAGGAGGAGGUUCAGGGUCAGGAAGUGGAGUCCAGGCGGAGCUCCGGGAGCAGCU
rnacentral:lncRNA from 1 species